CGGAGGGUGCAAGCGUUAUCCGGAUUUACUGGGUUUAAAGGGUGCGUAGGCGGGCCUUUAAGUCAGUGGUGAAAUCUCCCCGCUCAACGGGGAAACUGCCAUUGAUACUAUUGGUCUUGAAUUCAGUUGAGGUGGGCGGAAUGUGUCGUGUAGCGGUGAAAUGCUUAGAUAUGACACAGAACACCGAUUGCGAAGGCAGCUCGCUAAACUGAUAUUGACGCUGAGGCACGAAAGCGUGGGGAUCAAACAGGAUUAGAUACCCUGGUAGUCCACGCCCUAAACGAUGAUUACUCGAUCUGUGCGAUACACUGUACGGGUCUAUGCAAAAGCAUUAAGUAAUCCACCUGGGGAGUACGCCGGCAACGGUG
rnacentral:rRNA from 1 species